CAUGGUGUAGCAAUACACUGAUGGCGACCGGCAAACGGGUGCGGAACACGUACGCAACCUUCCUUUAAGUGGAGAAUAGCCCGGCGAAAGCCGGAUUAAUACUCCGUAACAUUAUGAAGUGGCAUCACUUUAUAAUUAUAGCUCCGGCGCUUAAAGAUGGGCGUGCGUCUGAUUAGGUAGUUGGCGGGGUAACGGCCCACCAAGCCUACGAUCAGUAACUGGUGUGAGAGCACGACCAGUCACACGGGCACUGAGACACGGGCCCGACUCCUACGGGAGGCAGCAGUAAGGAAUAUUGGUCAAUGGACGCAAGUCUGAACCAGCCAUGCCGCGUGAAGGAUGAAGGUCCUCUGGAUUGUAAACUUCUUUUAUUUGGGAAGAAACCCAAGAUUUCUAUUUUGGUUGACGGUACCAGAUGAAUAAGCACCGGCUAACUCCGUGCCAGCAGCCGCGGUAAUACGGAGGGUGCAAGCGUUAUCCGGAUUCACUGGGUUUAAAGGGUGCGUAGGCGGGCAGGUAAGUCCGUGGUGAAAUCUCCAAGCUUAACUUGGAAACUGCCGUGGAUACUAUUUGUCUUGAAUAUAGUGGAGGUGAGCGGAAUAUGUCAUGUAGCGGUGAAAUGCUUAGAUAUGACAUAGAACACCCAUUGCGAAGGCAGCUCGCUACACUAUUAUUGACGCUGAGGCACGAAAGCGUGGGGAUCAAACAGGAUUAGAUACCCUGGUAGUCCACGCCCUAAACGAUGAUUACUCGACAUCAGCGAUACACUGUUGGUGUCUGAGCGAAAGCAUUAAGUAAUCCACCUGGGAAGUACGACCGCAA
rnacentral:rRNA from 1 species